AGUGAACGCUGGCGGUAGGCCUAACACAUGCAAGUCGAACGGCAGCACAGUAAGAGCUUGCUCUUACGGGUGGCGAGUGGCGGACGGGUGAGGAAUACAUCGGAAUCUACUUUUUCGUGGGGGAUAACGUAGGGAAACUUACGCUAAUACCGCAUACGACCUACGGGUGAAAGCAGGGGAUCUUCGGACCUUGCGCGAUUGAAUGAGCCGAUGUCGGAUUAGCUAGUUGGCGGGGUAAAGGCCCACCAAGGCGACGAUCCGUAGCUGGUCUGAGAGGAUGAUCAGCAACACUGGAACUGAGAAACGGGCCAGACUCCUACGGGAGGCAGCAGUGGGGAAUAUUGGACAAGGGGCGCAAGCCUGAUCCAGCCAUACCGCGUGGGUGAAGAAGGCCUUCGGGUUGUAAAGCCCUUUUGUUGGGAAAGAAAAGCAGCAGGUUAAUACCCCGCUGUUCUGACGGUACCCAAAGAAUAAGCACCGGCUAACUUCGU
rnacentral:rRNA from 1 species